CCCCGCCCCCGGCGCGCGGGAGCGUUGGCCCCGCCUCUACCGCGAGCCCCUGGCCGGUGCUCUGCUACGCCUUAGAAGAGGCCUUCCUGACUCCUCCCUCCCAAACCUUGUCCUUCCUUACGGACCACGCCAGGGUCAUCUGUUUCCCCUCAUCUGUUAGUUUGGGAUCAUGCCCCAGAUAUUCCUUCUCCCUCCUGAGGGAGAGAAACCCCCUGUUCCCCUAGCCGUCAUCCCCCGCCCCCCCCCCCCCCCCCCACCACGCACUCAUUCACACACAAUGUCCCCGGGCCUGACCCAGGCAGAGGCUUGAAAAGAGCCCGGGCCCCACUCUCCUCAGGCCCUCACCUCAUGAGGCCCUAGAGAUCCCCCUACACGGAAGCCAACACUGGAUGCCCUGGGGAUCUUAGCGCCCCAGCUCCAGGGCCUUGGAACAUGCUGCUCCUUGCUCUUCUUCAGACCAGCUUGUCUCCACAAUCGCUUCCUCCAGGACAUCUUCCUUUAGCUUCCUGUUACACACACUCAUAGCAAUGGAUACUUCUCAAGAUGAGAAAACUGAGACUCGCAGAGGGACAGGAUUGCCGGUGGUCAGAUAGCUGGUAAGUAUUGCAGCGGGUCUGGGAACCCAGUGCUCAGACUCAAAGCCAGUGCUCUUGAUCACUUCACUACACUGUAAGCCCAGAAGGGGGCCUAGGGGUGGACGGGGCACAGGCAGUGGGUAGUGGUGAACAGGUGAGGGGGUGGAGUCUCUAGUCUCCCUCAUCCAGGUCUGGGGGACGGGGGUGGCAUCACUCCCCUGCUUGAAACGCUCCUGUGGCUCCCCAAUCACAUUUUGAACAAAACCCAAAGAUCGCUGGGCCCCCCAGGACCCAGCCCCCUGCUCCCUCGGGCAUCUCCUCUCCUACCAUUUGCUCACUGCCUUCCUGCCACCAGGCAUCCUGACUGCUCACUGACAUGCCAGGUAGCUCCCAUCUCAGGCUUUUGUUCCUGCCAUCCCCUCCACAUGGAAUGUUCUUUUUCCAGCUCUCAGAGUUCGCUCCCUCACUACACUCACACCUCCGCUCAAAUGUCACCUCUCCAGAGAGAACUGGCCCUAUCUAAACUAGCUCCCCAUCAGUGGCAUCACCUAUGCUAUCCUUGCUUAAUGGCAUGCCUCUACCAACAAUCAUAUUGCCUAUUACCUGUGUUAUUGUUUCUCCCAGUAGAAUAAAGCUCCAUGAGGCAGGACUUGUCUGCGUUGUCUACUGCUGUAUCCCUGGAUACAUCUGGCAUAUUGCAAGCCCUCAAAAUAUACUUUUGAAUGGAGCCACACCAACCUGGGCUCUAAUCCCAGCUCUCCCACCUCCUAGCUAUGUAACUCUGAGCAUUUAGUUAACCCCUAUAGCCUCAAUUUCCGCAUCUGUAAAAGGGGUGGCUGUGAGUAUUAAGUUACAUCGGGCAAUAAAGAUCUGUGUGGUGCUUGGCACAGGAAGGUGCUCAAUAGAAACUAGCCCAUCUCUCUUGCCCCCUAAUUCUUGCCCUGGGCAAAGGAGGGGAGGGCAGGAGACUCGGACUUGGAGGAUUCACACUGGGUGGACUCUCUGUUGGUGUGAGAAGAGACUUCAGUUUAAAGGAAGUCGCAUGACUGUGAUCACAAGGCUGGUAAAGAAUGAGGCUAAAGAUGUAGUGGUCAGAAAGGAAGAGGAGGGACAAGCGCCUGCAGAUGGGACAGCCCCAAGGCUGCUGGAGAAUUGGCCAGUAGUCUCCUCCACUGACCUGGAGUCUAGGGGGGAUGCAGAAGCUUGUUCCUGUCUGUUAGAGAGUGUGGAAAAGGACUCGGAGGUCGAGGGACAGAAGAGGAAGCAGUGGUCAUCAGUAGGUACUUAUCGGGCACCAGCUAUGUGGCAGGCACUGGGGAUACAGCAAAGGAAUAGACAGAGAGGGUGUCUGCCCUCUAGGAUAGGGGUGGGUGAAUUAGGGCCCAUGGGCCAAGUCUGACCUACUUUUUUUUGACGUGUUAUUAUUUAUUUUGAGAGAGAGAGCGCGAGCAUGCAUGCAGGAAGGGCAGAGAGAGAGGAAGAGAGAAAGAAUCCCAAGCAGGCUCCGCACUGUCAGCACAGAGCCCGAUGCGGGGCUAGAACUCACACACCUUGAGAUCAUGACCUGAGCCGAAACCAAGAGUCGGGUGCUCAACCAACUCAGCCAUGCAGGCACCCCUGAUCUAGUACUUUUGCAUGCCCGCGAGCUAAGAAUGGUUUUUACAUCUUUAAAUGAUUGAAAAAAUUCAAGAGAAGAAUAUUUCAUGACAUGUGAGAAUUAUAUGAAAUUCAAAUUUCAGGAUCCACAAAUAAAGUUUUAUUGGCACACAGCCAUGCUCCAUUUACGCCAUCUAGGCCUGCUUUGCACUACAACAACAGAGUCGAGUGGUUGCAACACAGACCAUAUGGCUUGGAAAGCCUAAAAUGUUUACUAGCUGGCUCUUUAGGAAAAAGGUUUGUCAAGCCCUGCUCUAGGAACUUGCAUUCUCUUGGGG